rnacentral:rRNA from 1 species
AACGAACGCUGGCGGCAUGCCUAACACAUGCAAGUCGAACGAUCCCUUCGGGGAUAGUGGCGCACGGGUGCGUAACGCGUGGGAACCUGCCCUUAGGUUCGGAAUAACUCAGAGAAAUUUGAGCUAAUACCGGAUAAUGUCUUCGGACCAAAGAUUUAUCGCCUUUGGAUGGGCCCGCGUUGGAUUAGCUAGUUGGUGGGGUAAAGGCCUACCAAGGCGACGAUCCAUAGCUGGUCUGAGAGGAUGAUCAGCCACACUGGGACUGAGACACGGCCCAGACUCCUACGGGAAGCAGCAGUGGGGAAUAUUGGACAAUGGGCGAAAGCCUGAUCCAGCAAUGCCGCGUGAGUGCUGAAGGCCUUAGGGUUGUAAAGCUCUUUUACCCGGGAUGAUAAUGACAGUACCGGGAGAAUAAGCCCCGGCUAACUCCGUG